AGAGUUUGAUCAUGGCUCAGGAUGAACGCUGGCGGCGUGCCUAACACAUGCAAGUCGAACGGUGGUUGCAAGACUACAGUGGCGCACGGGUGAGGAACACGUAGCUAACCUGCCUUCGGGUGGGGGAUAACGUCCCGAAAGGGAAGCUAAUACCCCAUAAGCUCAGGGGAUGUAGAGACCUGUGAGAAAAGAUUAAUCGCCUGAAGAGGGGGCUGCGGCCCAUCAGGUAGUUGGUGGGGUAACGGCCUACCAAGCCAACGACGGGUCGGGGACCUGAGAGGGUGACCCCCCACACUGGGACUGAGACACGGCCCAGACUCCUACGGGAGGCAGCAGUGAGGAAUAUUGCACAAUGGGCGCAAGCCUGAUGCAGCGACGCCGCGUGAGUGAAGAAGGCCUUCGGGUCGUAAAGCUCUUUUCUGCGUGACGAGCAAGGACGGUAGCGCAGGAAUAAGUGUCGGCUAACUACGUGCCAGCAGCCGCGGUAAAACGUAGGACGCAAGCGUUAUCCGGAGUUACUGGGCGUAAAGGGCGUGUAGGCGGCUGGCUAAGUCCGUCGUGAAAGCCCCUGGCUAAACCGGGGGAGAUCGAGGGAGACUGGCUAGCUCGAGUGGAGUAGAGGGGCAUAGAAUUCCGGGUGUAGUGGUGAAAUGCGUAGAGAUCCGGAGGAAUACCAGAGGCGAAGGCGAUGCCCUGGGCUCUAACUGACGCUGAGACGCGACAGCAUGGGGAGCGAACGGGAUUAGAAACCCCGGUAGUCCAUGCCGUAAACGAUGCCAACUAGGUGUUCAGCCCCCACCGGGGGAGGAGCGCCGCAGCUAACGCGCUAAGUUGGCCGCCUGGGGAGUACGGUCGCAAGGCUAAAACUCAAAUGAAUUGACGG
rnacentral:rRNA from 1 species